CAGUAGCCGCGGGAAUACAGAGGGUGCGAGCGUUAAUCGGAUUUACUGGGCGUAAAGCGUGCGUAGGCGGCUUCUUAAGUCGGAUGUGAAAUCCCUGAGCUUAACUUAGGAAUUGCAUUCGAUACUGGGAAGCUAGAGUAUGGGAGAGGAUGGUAGAAUUCCAGGUGUAGCGGUGAAAUGCGUAGAGAUCUGGAGGAAUACCGAUGGCGAAGGCAGCCAUCUGGCCUAAUACUGACGCUGAGGUACGAAAGCAUGGGGAGCAAACAGGAUUAGAUCCCCCGUAGUCCCUGUCUCUUAUACA
rnacentral:rRNA from 1 species